rnacentral:rRNA from 1 species
GAUGAACGCUGGCGGCAGGCCUAACACAUGCAAGUCGAACGAGCGGCGGACGCGUGAGUAAUGUCUGGGGAUCUGCCUGAUAGAGGGGGAUAACUACUGGAAACGGUGGCUAAUACCGCAUACUAUCAGAUGAACCCAUAUGGGAUUAGCUAGUAGGUGGGGUAACGGCUCACCUAGGCGACGAUCCCUAGCUGGUCUGAGAGGAUGAGCAGCCACACUGGAACUGAGACACGGCCCAGACUCCUACGGGAGGCAGCAGUGGGGAAUAUUGCACAAUGGGCGCAAGCCUGAUGCAGCCAUGCCGCGUGUAUGAAGAAGGCCUUAGGGUUGUAAAGUACUUUCAGCGGGGAGGCGUUACCCGCAGAAGAAGCACCGGCUAACUCCGUGCCAGCAGCCGCGGUAAUUC